rnacentral:rRNA from 1 species
AGAGUUUGAUCCUGGCUCAGAACGAACGUUGGCGGCGUGGCUUAGGCAUGCAAGUCGAACGAGAAAGUUUCUUUCGGGAAGCGAGUAGAGUGGCAAAAGGGUGAGUAAUGAUUAGUUAACCUACCCCUAAAACUGGGAUAACUACCCGAAAGGGUUGCUAAUACCGGAUGGUCUAUGAGAAUCGCAUGGUUUUUAUAGUAAAGGCGCUCGCAAGGGUGUCGAUUAGGGAGGGGAUUAAUUCCUAUUAGCUAGUUGGUGAGGUAACGGCUCUACCAAGGCAUUGAUGGGUAACCGGUCUGAGAGGAUGGCCAGCCACAUUGGGACUGAGAAACGGCCCAUACUCCUACGGGAGGCAGCAGUGGGGAAUAUUGCGCAAUGGCCGAAAGGCUGACGCAGCGACGCCGCGCGUGGGAUGAAGGCCUUCGGGUUGUAAACCACUGUCGGGAGGGGCGAAUACUUGGGCCUCGUAAGGGGAUCCAGGGGUGACGGUACCUCCAAAGGAAGCACCGGCUAACUCCGUGGCCAGCAGCCGCGGUAAUACGGAGGGUGCGAGCGUUGUCCGGAAUCACUGGGCGUAAAGGGCGCGUANGCGGUUUGGUAAGUCACGUGUGAAAUCCCGGCGCUCAACGCCGGGGCUGCAUGUGAGACUGUCAGACUANAGCUCGGUAGAGGCNAGUGGANUUCCC